GGGAGAGAUCACAAUAAAGAUAUUAAAAUGGGUUCACCCUAAACUGUUGUAUUCUCUUUUGUUGCAACAUCGGUUUUUAAUGAUUUUGGUCACCUCUUCUCUAGCACAAAGGUCACAAUAAACAUUAGCCAUACAGACUUCGACUGCACACAGGAACGGUCGAAAGGCACAUCUUUUGAUUUGAAAAUUAUCAGUGGGAAGCAGUGGUAGGCAGCAUUUCAGUGCUGAAAACUGAGACAUUUGAUAGGAUGAACAAAAUGCUUUUUCUCUUGUUUAGCAGCCACGAAACAGAAGUCCAUCUUUCUGUAUAGAAAGCUUCUGACAAUCUGUUAUACUGGUGCUAUAAGUAAAAUAAGUGUUUAAUAUUUUCUUUUUUUUUUUUUUUUUUUCCAAUCUUUCCAGAAAGUCACUCCUAUUGGAAUAAAAGGAAAAUCAGUUCACACAAAAUAUCCUUGGGUAACUGAGCACCAUGCUGAUACUUCUGCAGUUAUAACCUCUGAUAGACUGGGAGAUGAGAACCCUGACAGUUACACAGAAGAGGCCCAAGGAAAGCACAGGGGAAGUGAAGAGUUCGGGGAAACUGUGGCCUCCUGCCUCUGCAGGACCCAUGAUGGGGCCCUCAUACACCAAAGAGGACAGCGUGGGAAAGUGGAGGAGGCGGGCACCUUUCUCAAGCAUCAUGAAAGUAAACCUGACAAAAAUUAGACCCUUGUAUAGCAAGAUAAGAAGUACUUACUUUGCUUUGCACAUGCCAUUUCAGAACAGAUUUGGAGGCACCAUCUGGAGGGAAGGAUGACACAGAUGCCAUGGAGCGUCCAGUUUCCUUCGUAGGUAAUUCCCGCAAAAGGAUGAUUUGGUCCUGAGUCAUUGCCACUGGGGAUGAAAAUACAAAGUGAUACAACACACAAACAUGUUCAAGCCUACAGAUUUAAUUGCUUCAAAGAAAAAUGUACUCAGCUAAGAUGACGACCCAGUGCAAUACAAUGGUUCCCAUGACUACUCAUUCAUUUCACAACAGCAAUCUGAGCAAACCAGAGACAAUACCCUGUGUCCCCAAAUCCCCCCUAAACUGGUCACCAAAACUAAAAAUGCCUAUCCAAUCUUUCCUCACAAAUAUGGGAUAUUUUUAAUGUCUGUGCCCAGCCACAGGAUCCCUAUUUCACUUAGCUGAUACAAAUCAUAUAUUUUCUUGUCAAUCACAUGCCACAUCAAGUAAAAGGCCAAAUCACCCCUGGAGCAUCUUCUCAUUUCAGAAAUGUCAGUGACUACCUCAAUUGCUCCUAUAAUCCAGACAGAUCACCCUUAAUUCAUUCUACUCUGUUUUCAAGCAGAAAAAUUUGGCCUCCCUGGAACAGCAAGGCAGCAUCUUUGAAAACAAGGCACUAGUAACCAUACAGAAACAACAGCAC
rnacentral:lncRNA from 1 species